AUGAACGCUGGCGGCGUGCCUAAUACCUGCCAGUCGCGCGAACAGACGAGGAGCUUGCUCCUCUGACGUUAGCGGCGGACGGGUGAGUAACCCGUGGAUAACCUACCUAUAAGACUGGGAUAACUUCGGGAAACCGGAGCUAAUACCGGAUAAUAUAUUGAACCGCAUGGUUCAAUAGUGAAAGACGGUUUUGCUGUCACUUAUAGAUGGAUCCGCGCCGCAUUAGCUAGUUGGUAAGGUAACGGCUUACCAAGGCAACGAUGCGUAGCCGACCUGAGAGGGUGAUCGGCCACACUGGAACUGAGACACGGUCCAGACUCCUACGGGAGGCAGCAGUAGGGAAUCUUCCGCAAUGGGCGAAAGCCUGACGGAGCAACGCCGCGUGAGUGAUGAAGGUCUUCGGAUCGUAAAACUCUGUUAUUAGGGAAGAACAAAUGUGUAAGUAACUAUGCACGUCUUGACGGUACCUAAUCAGAAAGCCACGGCUAACUACGUG
rnacentral:rRNA from 1 species